AUCCCGUAUAUAAAUAAGACAUGCAAAAUUCCAAUCUCGUACGAUUCUAGUUGUGUUUGGAUCCUUUCCACUUCGCGCAUGUCACAACCGCCGAUGCAUUAUUGUGGGCUUCUUGCAAUGCAUGGGACCAUGCAGUGAUCAUAGGAUGUCGAGAUGAGCAAUUCUUUGUGCACCGCGCGCGGUGCGCGGUGAGAUGAGCAAUUCUUUGUGCACCGCGUCGCGACCAUGCAGUGAUCGUA
rnacentral:lncRNA from 1 species